rnacentral:lncRNA from 1 species
UCUCAGGGCCGGUUCUGAUUUUAAAGAGUAGAUCGAUACAAAUGUUGUUAAGGAAAGAAAAGAACUAAGCAAAGUGAUUAACCAAAACAGCAGGCAUCAUGUCCCACCCCCCCCAAAAAAUUGGUAUGAGCUCCGCUGCUUCCCAAAGAAAAUGUUUCAAUACCAAGGAACGAGGAUUAUUCUUAUUGCUUCUAAAAUGGCUCGGACGAUAUUAAUUCUUAUUG